AUCUUUGCAGAAUCUGCGCAGACUUAGCAAAGGCUGCCUCUCGUGAACGCACCCUCAGAUUUUGCUAAGAUUCUGAAAAUUCAUUGGCUAUUUCCUCUGAUUCUGUGCAGAAUGGCGAAAGUCUGCGUGGCGUGAACGCACCCAAUGUUUUUAGGCAUCGUUUGGUAUAUGUGGUUGUUUGUUUAGGGGAUUUUGUGAUUUAAUUUAAAGCAAUUGUUUUGUCCUCUGAAUUUGCAAUCAUAGGGACAUUAUUUGCUAAUUUUAUGUGUAAAAAAGAUUUUCAUCUUGCUUCUAAAUCCAACAUCGAGAAGGUAAAUAAACACUGAAACCGAUACACAUGUGUUUACUGUACAAAUGGAGUACACCUGCUUAAUCAUUUACUGUGUAGACGUUAUGUUUUAUGUUAAAAUCAAUUCAAACGUGUAUUUCGUAGAAAUGUGUAUGUUCCUUACUGUGUCAACAAGCGUUCCUAAGAUGUAGCUUUUUUUUUUUUACUUUACCAAAAUUUACGUAAAAUGUACUAUAAAUAUAACUGUUUUAUAUCCAAACAUGCACGCAUGCCUUUGAAGAUCAGUCUUUAUAUCACACUAUGGUAUAUCCUAUUUGUUUGUUUGUUUCAACGAGAGCAAUGGUUGUUCAAGCAUGGUAGGACACAUGGACAUCCCAAAUGAAACCAUAGGAAAGUAUCUCGUCACUCAGUUUCGAAUAAUUACUAGAUAAUACCAAGUAAAGAAUUGUUUUCCUGAACAACAGCGUCUGGUUCCAUCUGAUAGAAAUUGUCUCCAGUGCCAGCAGUAAACCUGUUUGAGCGCACAGACUCACCGAGAAGACGAUAUUAUGUGAGGGCACAUGGUAAAAUAUUUAUAAUCACAGGUAAAAAGCAAUUGUUUGUUCUUUUAAUGGCUGUACAUUGAUUUGUGAAUCUGAUGUUCGAAUGAUUCUCCUGAUCUAAAUAUAUACCGACAAUUUGAAGACAUCGUUUUUACCCAUCCCAUGCCCGUAUGUUCUGUUUGUAAGUGGAUUACACCACCUGCUGUUUUUAUUUUGCAUUGCAUCUUUAUCUUAUCACAGUCUAAAAAAUAGCCUAACAAUUGAUACAUUGAAUGGCAUCUGAAAAACCUUAAGUCCUCCAAGAUUAAAUUUGUUUAUAUUAUACGGUGCUUGCUGUUUCACUGUAUGACUUGAGAUAUACAUAUUAAGGCUAGUGAAUUAGUGAAGUGUACUGCCACAGUAUAGAAUGGUAUACUAUACAAGUAUACCUGUGUAAAUGUUCAUAGAUAUGUAGCUAAAUAGUGAUAGUGUUUCUUUUCUUUCCUUCUUGCUACAAAGAGGAGACAAAGGAGGUAAGAGCUUCAGCGACUCCACAUGGUCUUUUAAAGAUUAAGAUGCUUUUAUCAUUUCAUGCAGUUUGUUGAUUCUAGUUUGUGGUUUGUGGUUAAAAUAUGUGCACAAAAAUGUAUUGUGUAUCAUAAUUGCUUUUGGGCAAUAGUGUGUGUGCCCUGUUAUGACUGAUUAGUUUAGCCACUGUUUUAUAUACAUGUAGUUAAUUGGUUAUUUACAUAAUUAUUAAUUUAAUUCAAUAAAUAAAGAAUACUUCUGGUAAUGCUUUUUUCAUUGCUGAAUAUUUAAAAUCGUUUUCUUCCAAGUAUUAACAUAUAUUUUAUUUCCCCAUACGUGUAGCUAUGCAAAGGAUGACAUGAGCAUCAGAGACCAACCAUUUGGUAUUCAGGUGCAGAAUGUGAGGUGUAUUAAAUGUCACAAAUGGGGACAUGUGAACACAGAGAGUGUCCGCAGUUUGGUUUAUCUGGAAUCAGUGCCAGCGCAGUGGUGAAUGAUGAUGCAGGUCCGUCAAUGCACCCCUCAGAGUUAAUGGCGGAGAUGAGAAACAGUGGGUUUGCACUGAAACAAAGUGUACUGGGGAGAAAUUUGACUCUGUGAUCCAUCGCAGGAGUAUGUUACAAGUGAAGUUGAGGAUGAUCCCGAAGUUGAAUUUUUAAAAUCGCUUACAGCCAAGCAAAAAGAAAAGCUGCUCAGGAAACUUGUUCGCCUUGAAACGAAAGUGAAGAAAAAGAGGAAACCGAAAAAGAAGAGCAGACGCAAGAAGCAGAAGGACAGCAGUGAUUCUUCCUCCUCCAGCGACAGUUCAACCAGCGAUAAUGAAUCAGAGAGACACCACAAGGACAAGAAGCACAAGAAAAAAAAAGUCUAACAAUGGAAGGAAGAGAGAGAGCAGCGAUGAUAGAGAUGCGGAAGACAGGUCACAGAGCGAAAAAGAGAAGCCAUUGACUGGUAGACAGGAAAGGUCAAAACAGAACUCGAGAAAAAAAGCCCAAGAAAUGAGAGAAAUAGGACAGAAAGGAACGGAAGCACAGAAGCAGAAAUGGCAAGAGAUGUCAAAAGAGAGGAGCAGGAGUAGAGGCAGGGAAGAGGAGCUAGGAUGACUGAAAAGAGAGACAGGCAUGGCAGCAGAGACAGGACCACAGGAAAUGGAGGCCAAAGUAGAAGUCAGAGUAGAGAGAGGGGUACAAAGAGAAGGGAUAGAGACCGGAGUUGCAGCAGAGAGCAGCACACUAGAAGAGAUAGAAGCACAAGUCACAGCAGAGAGAGGCGUCCCAAAAGAAGGGGCAGAAACAGAAAAAAGGAAUCAUAAUAGAGGAAAAACAGAAUAUUUUGUGUCAAGGGAUAACAACUUGAUAGAAGCAGGAAGGUAUUUGAUUUUUUUUCCUCAAUACAUUGUGUUACAUUUACUAGUGUAAAAGUUGAAACUUAAUUCAAUUAUAAAUGCUGUGUACAUUACUGAAUUUUCAAUCAUUCUGUUUUGUACAGCUAUAUUAUGUACCCUUUAAGUUUGUAUUUGAUUGAGAAUAAAAAAUAAAACGUUUGAAAAUUGUAUUACAUGUAUGUAAAAGUCUGUCCGUAAACAAUUGGGAUAAAAACUAUUGGAACACAACAAACCAGAGCUUGCAAUAUCCCACAUUAUUUUAUUCCACUACCGUCUGCUUCGAGUGAACAGUUGCAGGUAUUUGGUAGGAGUGCUCCUUUUAGCAAUUCCACGAGAGGGCGCCAGUGGACUCUUCAAUUCAGAUUUGUUGUUUUUUUAAAAGAUUUAAGUCAUUUGUACAGUAUUUGAACUUCAGACUCUUACACUAAAAUCCGAAAACUUUUUUUUUUUUCAUACAGAGAGCAAUUGUAGAAAAUGUGAAUGACCUUAUAGUUCCAAUGCAAAAUUUAAAGUAAUAUUAACUAACAUGAUUUUUGUCUAAACGUCAUUAAAAUGUAUUACCCGUCUUAAUGAUUAAAAUGUGAAUCGCUCUGAGCAGUCGUUUACAUCAAAGGAAUAACCCCUUUUGGUUCUUGA